ACACACACACACACACACACACACACACACACACACACACACACACACACAAAAAAAAUAUAUUUUUUGGCAUUUUGCCUUUAUUGGGUAGCGAUAGUGAAGACAGACAGGAAAGCGGAUAGAAGACAUGGAAGGAAGACAUGCAGCAAAGGGCCACAGGUCGGACUGACUGUAACUGGUGCGUUUCUUAAUUGCUUUUGUUUUAGAUCAGGGUUCCCAGUGUGCAGUUUGCCAAGCAAGUGCUGCAACAAUUAAAAACAAAAAACAACAAAAAUAAUACAUUCCCAUAAAGGGAGUCAUCAACCAUAGAAAAUAAUCACGUUUAAUCACAGAAUGUUUUGAUUGUUUAGAAACCUACCUACUGAUUGUGUACUUCAAAAAUAAGAAUAGGAGAUUAGCGUUCUGUGUAAUUUCAUUAUUAUUAACGUAUGUUUUUCUAGUUAAGAUUUCUCAGCCAUUUCAAUUGGUUGGAAUGGACCUUCUUGGGAAACUUAGAAACCAAAAGGGGACAUCAGUACAUUUGUGUUUUCAUUGGCUACUUCAAAAUACCAACACGGAUCCCCACUGAAGUCUAAAUCAGCAAAGGAAGUGACAAACUGAUCAAAUUUGUCCAUCAGUUUGAAGCACCUAACAGGGUUCUUAGUGAGCAAGGAAAAGAAUUUGUCAAUUCAGUAAGUACUUCAGUCUUUGGCAAAAAUUGUUAUUGGCAUGUAACACUUUAAAAAAAAUUAUAUACGUCUUUAAGCUUCUACUUCUGGUUUUUAUAAAUCUGUUUGAUAUUUUUAUGACUGCUGUAUAUUUCAAAUCUUCUUGUAAUGUACUUAGUCAGUAUAUUUGACUUGCUGUUGCAGCUCAAAAGGUUAUGCAGAAUGUUACACAGAAGAAACCUCUGCUCCCCAUAUCACCCACAAACAAAUGGCUCAGUAGAGAGAAUGAAUGGCACCAUCCAGAGGUAAAUUCUUUGUUAUAUUCUGUAAUAGACCACACCAAAGCCUGAUACUUUGGGUACAUCCAGCUUAACACGUAAAACAUUAGUUUUAUGGGGUUCCCUUCCACUAAAACAUUAAAGGUAUGACAUUUAAAAAAAAAAAAGAAAAAAGGAAAAUGAUCUUUCAUAUGAAUGUUUUGCAUAUGCUUUUAUUGCCAGAGCCCUCUGUAAGGUUGUUGGUGACCAUCCAGAAACAUGGGAUGACUAUCUGGAUGUUGUGAUGUUUGGUCUCAGAACAAAAAAGCAAAUGACCACUGAAAUACUCACCCCAUUACCUGAUUUUUGGCAGAGAGGCUCGUUAUCCAUAUGAAAUCCCAGAACAUUACAUGGUCUUUCUGUCUGUGACAGACUACAGGAAAAUCCUACGCAAAGCACCUUAGUAAGUUUUUGAUGCACAGGCAGAACAGUUUGAAUGCAUGCUACAUCACCACCUUAAAAGCAACAAUAGUAUCAGAUCCAGGGGUCAGAAGCUACAGCAAAGGAAGAAAACGCCACCAGAACCAGCACGCGCUGCAGGUCCACAAGCCAAAUCACAAACAGCAGCAGACCCAGCCUCACAGACCACAGCAGCAGACCUCGAUCCAAAAGCUACAACUCCACCAGCAACUACUCCCCAGGUUGUAGCACCACCAGCAUCAACUACUCCUAAGUAAUCUACAGCACAAACUGUAGAAGCAACAGUACUACCAGUGACAGCAGCAACAGCCUUACAAGCUACCCCCUGCACCACCUCCAGCAUCAUCACCUCAAAGAUAUACUCAAGCUGUUGCAGAGAAAUGUAAAAAAAGAAAAAGAAAAUAACAAUUUUGUGAUUUGCUUAAAAAGCCCUUUAUUCCUAUGAUACUCUGUUACAUUACUCUUUAGAUCAUGGCACAGGAUAUUUUACACAAUUUCCCUGUUGGUUUAGGUAUAUUAUUCAAAAGACUUAAAAUUCAAUACUCUGUUAAUGCAUUUUCAAAAAAUAUACCUUCAUCAAGCAAGGCUGUAACUCACAUGUGUCACGUGACAUAAAUAAUUGAUUCUUUCAACAACAACAACAAAAACAACAACAAAAAAAAAGAGUCAUAUUUCUUUGUUAUUGUGUAAACCAGAAUGUUCAGAAUUGACAUUGUACUUAUAAUGUACACUACCAGUUAAAAGUUUGGACACCUUCCCAUUCAAAGUUCUGUUUUCAUGGCUACUUGCAUUGUAGAUUCUCACUGAAGGCAUCAAAACUAUGAACGAACCCAUAUGGAACCCUAACCUGAUCAUAUAGUAAAGAAAAAAGUAUAAAAUAAAAAGAGGUUUUGUGUCUUAGUCUUCAAAAUAGCCACCCUUUGCUUUGCACACCCUUUGCCUUCUCAGUAAGCUUCAUAAAGUAGUCACCUGAAAUGGUUGUCACUGCACAGGUGACACACAAAGCAGAGGUGACUCUUGGCCUUCCUUUCCUGGGAUGGGCCUCAUGUGAGCCAGUUUCAUUGUAGCGCUUGAUGGUUUUUGCAACUACAGUUUGGUUGUCUUUGGGGAUCAGGACCGUCUGGGUAGUGAUGUGUCCUGUGUGUCGAAGCUUCAAAGCGUGUCGGGUAAUCUCGGGGGAGUUUUUGUGAAGUGUGUACAGAGGCUUGCUUUGAUUACGUAUGCAGUGACGUUCGAGGCCUCGCGGGCAGCCCGUACCACAUGACUGAUUCAGGAACUGGCUCGCCAGUUUCCAAAUAAAAUGGGUAACAAAACACAGCUGAUUCCCCCAUCACAUUGUUUUGUGGAAUUGGAUUACGUACAUGUUACAUAGUUACUCGAGCAUUUCUUCUUCGAUGGAACCAGCAAGGAAGAGAAGAUUUCCCCUGUCUGGCAACACUGAUCUCAUCUCUCCUAAUAAGGUAUGCACACAGUAAUAAAUAUCACAAAUGAUAAGUACCAUAAUAUAAAUAAACCACACCACAGAUCCUAUAAUCUGAUUUCUGUCUUUUGGUUUAUUGAAAGGUGAAGUGUUUGUUGUGCUCCAAAGAACUUGGAUACAGCAACAACACCUCAACUAUGCUGAGGCAUUACAGAGCCCUGUGUGAAAACAAGGAGACUAUCCAAGGUGGACCAAGCUCAGGGGAGAGGAAUGAUAUGGAUGAGGCAUUGGUCAACAUGGUGAUAGAUUCCCAGCCCUUCACUAUUGUGGAGGACAGUGGGUUUAGAAAGCUUGUUAAAGCUUUGAACCUUAACUGUUCUCCCCACAAGGCAGGCUUUGAAAGCUAUGGUGGACCAAAGAUACAAAGAGUCCAAACAAAAAGAAAAACUGACUGUGGCAAAGGCUUCUGUAGUUAGUUUGACAUCUGAUAUGUGGACCUCCAUUAACACAGAGGGUUUCCUAGCUGUCACCUGCCAUGUCAUUGAUUCUAACACUGCAUUGCAUUCUGUAGUGUUAGGUGUUCAGCACUUCCCUAAAGCACAUACUGCUAUCAAUUUGUCCCAAGUAACAGCAGCGCUCAUGUCAGAGUGGGGAAUUACAGACAAAGUUACAUGUUAUGUGACUGAUGGAGCAGCAAACAUGGGUGCUUGUGCAAAGGAGCUUUGUUUGCAUCACAGUAAUUGUGUGGCGCAUACAUUGAACCUAAUGGUCAAAAAAAGCUCUUGAUCAACACACCGCGCUGUCUGAGAUCCAGACCACCUGUAGGAGGACCGUGGGAUAUUUCAAGAGCAGUGCAACUGCUAAGGUUUGUUCCAUUAUUUCAUUAUUGCUUUAAGGAGCUGCUGCAAUAACACAGCUUGAAUUAAUCAAUUUGUGUUGGCUGUUUUCUUAGGAGAGGCUGACAGAGGUGCAAGAGCAAAUGGGCCGGCCUCCACUGAAGUUAAUUCAAGAGGUGGAUACAUGUUGGAACAGCACAUUCCAAAUGCUUCAAUGUAUUCAUGAGCUCAGGGAACCUAUUGGAGCAUCGUUAGCUGGCCUGCACACUGAUAUUUGCCCACUAUCCUCUGAACAGUAUGACCUUAUGGCAGAAUGUCUCAAAAUGCUCUCCCCAUUUAAUGAUGCCACCACUGAGCUGUCAGAGGAAAAGAGUGUCUGAAUCCAAAGUAAUUCCACUUCUAACCAUGUUGCACCAUGCACUAAAUUAAGAGGAAAUGGGAGUUGUCCUAACUCCAGAGAGGUCCACCAUGGUUGAGUGUCUGAGGAGACAAUUAAAGGAGAAGCUCUACAUGUUGCAGUCAAUGAGCAUCAUGUCACUGGCAACAUUGCUGGAUCCAAGGUUUAAAAAAAAAAAAAAAAAAAAAAAAAAAAAAAAGAGGCUUCUUUAGCCCCAAUAAAGCACUGGAUGCUGAGAGGAGACUCAUUUUUGAGUGUGCUGCUGCUUUGCAGCACUUGGCAGCCUCUCAGCCUGUGACUUAAGGUGUAUGAGCACAUUUUGAUUAUUUUAUUGUAUUUAGUUACUUACAUCCUGUUUGUUUUAAGCUAUGUCCACGCUAGCCCGGAUAGAUUUGAAAAAGGCGUUUGUCUGAAAACGCUCUGCGUCCACACUAGCCUCUUCAGUUGUUUUCAAAGAGUUGCGCGUCCACACUAAAACAGCCAAAAAAAACAAAAAAAACCUGACGUUGCAGUUCGUGAAACGCAAGACGACUCAACCUGCGUCAUUUCCCAUUUUCCGGCUCUUUUGGAUGACAUCACACGUCUGGAUUACCAGCUUCCAAGGCACCAAGAGUGUGCAUGUCAUCUAGGGCUGCCACAAACGAUUAUUUUGAUAGUCGACUAGUCACCGAUUAUUUUUGCGAUUAGUCGACUAAUCGGAUCAUGCAUCCAUUGGACGUAAAACGUACAGCUUAU